UGAACUCCAUCCCAUAGCUUUUUAAGCUUGCUAUGACUCAAGUGAAGCUCUAUGAGCAUUUCAGCACAAAAGGUUGAUGGCAAAAACUCAAGACAGUAUCCUUCCCAUCGAAGAUACCUCAAUUUAUCAGAAAUCCACUCAAGACCAUCGGGAAAGUACACAUUGCAUGUGUUUCCUCUAGAUAUAUUAUAGAUUUUAAGAUAUCUUAAAUUUUUCAUCCUUCUAAAGGAAUUAGACUUCAAGUAAAGAUCCCCCACAUCUGUACUAUCGAAUGUUAUCCCUUCGACAGCUUCAGUUCCCUGAUAAAAAUUACAUUAAUAAUUAGGAAUGAUUGUCACAUAUACUUUCCUUGUUAUAUUUCAUAAUCACAUAGAUGUGUUAUUUUGAUGUAGAAGGGAAUAGAUCCUCUACUUACUUUGUUAUAUUUUAAUACAUCGGAUAUCUCUUCAGCUUUCCACAGUCGACUUCGUUUUCCAGGAUCUUCAGAUUCUUGAUUAACAAUCUCCCGUCCCAUUUCUUGUAACAAAUCAUGCAUUUCUAUAGUACAAACUUCCCUUUUGACAUGCAAAAUUGAAUCUAGUUGAAUGAGAGCUUUAUCUAGAAGGACGUCUAUCCCACUUAUUGCAAAGAAAUCAGAAGCUUCCAGUAGAUCUCUUACAAAAUCUUUACCCUGUCCACUCAACAAGCAUGCGAUGUCUAGAAAUAUGGCCUUUUGACAACGAUCUAACUCAUCAUAACUCAAUUUUAACACAUUAUGAAUUUUUCGAUUGGGAAUCUUUUGGAGCUUUUUCAAUUCAUUUUCCCACGCUUCUUGGCCCCUUGAACUGAGAUUUGCACCUAAAACUUUUAAUGCCAGAGGGUUACCUUUGCAAUAGGCAAUUACACUUUCUGAUAGAUCUUCAUAUCCAAUUUUAGGUUGUUUUUCUUUGAAGGCAGUCAAACUGAAUAGCUGAAAAGAAUCAUGCUUGUUCAAUUCUUUAAGCUCAUAUAUUUCACAUUUACUCACCUGACUAAAUAUGUGCUUAUCUCUAGUUGUAAUAAUGACCCUACUACCUGGUCCCAGACCAUCAAUUUUUGGGAUAAGAUCAUCUAUUUGCUCUAAGGUUUCUACACCAUCCAACACAAUUAAAACUUUUUUACGCCCAAUCCUUCUCUCGGAGAAAGGGGCUUCUAUGUAGGAUGCAUCAGGAUGAAUAUUUUCUUCCUCUAACAAUGAAGACAAAAGUUUAUUGAGUACAACAUUAAGUCCAUACUUGUUUGAUUCAUCCAUUACAUUGAGUAAGCAACAACCUUCGAAUUGAGAAUACAUUUUAGCAUAUAAAGCCCUAGCAAGGGUGGUCUUUCCUAUGCCACCCAUGCCCCAUAUUCCAAGGACUCUGACUUCAUGUGACCCAAUUUUCAGCUUUGAUUCAAUUUGGUCAUAAUUUUUCUCAAUUCCAACAAGCCCGGCCUUAAUUUCAUAUGGGUAUUUAAGAUUCAGUUUCUGCAAAACAUCUUCAACGAUAUCCUUAAUGAAGCGUGAUUCAGUCCUAGCAUACGAAAGAGGGGAAGAAGGUUUGAUAAGUCUACAAAUACAAUGGAAGGAAAAUACAUCUAUAUGAUUGGUAAAUAAAAUUUAUAGUCGACAUGGUGGCACUGGCAGUUCCUUAGCAGAGCAAGAAAGAAAGAAAAUUAGAUUUGAGGAAAUAAAUACCAAUGAUAGAGAAUGUAAUUAAUGUCUAAAUUUUCUAGGAAGUGAAAUCCUAAUGAAAAUUCGAAAAAAAUAAAUAAAUGUUUUAUGCUAGAAAUAUAACACAACUGUGUGGGAUGGAUAGUGCAGAUUUCAAAAAUUGUGUGUAUGCAGGGUACAAGCAUAUGAUUAUUAAAUAGUUUUCAGAAGGUCAUAUCAACUAUGGCCAGGCACAUAAACAUCAUUGUUCACUUCUCCAAAUAAUUCGGCCUGUUUACUUUCUAAAAUUAAUUUUAGCUUUCAUUUUUUAAAAUCUAUGUUCAUUUCCAACCAUGAAUAAGGAGAUGAAAGACUCAUGUAGUAUAUAAUUGUGCUAUAUUAGAAAACAAAACAUGAAAAUUAUAUAAAAUAGUUUAUUGGUUUUACUUAGAAUUUUGAGAACAUACAAGUCAUGGCAUGUACAAAGCUCGAUAGUUCGUUUUACUUACUCAAAAUUUUGAAAGUCCCAACCGCCUAAACUAGCUGCCUCAGUGAGAGCGGCUUUCCAUUCCUGUAACUUGUCAUUAUUGCUCUUCAAAUCUCGCUUAUGUUUUGCAAAAGCUUGCUCGUAACUCCCGGUCUGGUUCCUCACAUGUGAUGGAUCUAUUUUGUAAAAAACUGGUAUCACAAUGUGUUCCUUAUAUUUCUUGCAUUCAAGAAUCUUCUUGAGCUCAUUCAAGCACCAUUUUGAAGAAGCAUAGUUUUCUGAGAAGAUGACAAUAGAUGCAUGUGACUUCUCAAUGGCUUUGAUGAGUGCUGGCGAGAUCUCAUCUCCUUUUUGAAGCUUAUUGUUGUCUAUAAAGGUUUCAACUUUCUUUCGGCUCAGAGCAUCAUAAAGAUGGCUGGUGAAGUUUCUGCGAGUAUCCUCACCUCGAAAGCUAAGAAAAACGUCAUAUUUUUUCAGAGGCACCACAUCAGAAGAAGAUAUGGAAGAAAAAGCACUGCUCAUUUUCUACCUAGUGAUUAUGAAUUCCAAGUGCCUGCACUAAUCACAAUGCUACACUCAAAAAUAAAAUAAAAAUUUAUGUUUAAAUGUGUUCUUGAUACUUGUCAAUGAUAUUUUUGACAGGUACUCGGUUCAUAUAUCUGAUUGACAUCAGAUCAAGCAGUUCAAGGUUCACAUAUUGCUCAUCUAUGGAUAUAAUAAAUAAACAGCAUUUGUUAUUUCAAGUCGUUUGUGAUUCUUGGAAAUUUGUUUGUCUUAUAUUAAUGGCUUGCUUAUGAUGUGGAAAACCUAUACAGUUAUUUUGAAGAUGAAAAAACUUGAAUAGACAUUAAAAGCUUAAUGACAUGAAAUAGUAAAGAAUCUUAACAUUUUUUUGAAUGACAAAUCCUAGUAGUUAGUUGUUAGAUUAAGUAUUGACUAUUUCGUCCAGGUUUGAACCGAGAGUCUCCAACUUCUUAUCCGUGAGUUCAAAUUUCAAACCAGUUGAGCUACUCAACCUCCCAAAUAAAAAAACUUAACUCAGAUUAAGUGAAGAGCAACCAAAAUAAAACAUAGAAUUCAAUUCAAGCAACAAGGUUAAGCAUCAUUGGAGUCCAUACAUAAAAUUAGUCAUAAAUAACCAGCCUAUGAAUGUAAAGCAAAAACAAAUCUGGCCCAUGUAUGAUACUUUUUUCUCAAGCAGCAUUUUCAGAUACAAAACAGAGUAAUUUCCUAAUCAGUAAAAAUGGGGUACAAAUAAGAAAUAUGAAGACUAAUUAAACAUUCAUAUACAAUUCUUGAAGACCAAUUUAAUCUUAUAAGUUAAAUUAAAAUUGAUGGAAAAAAGAUGAUACCAAAGUCAGAUCCAGCUUAAUGCAAUAGAGGAGAAAAAGACUGUAUGGCUUAGCUUCUGCUGGAAUCAAUUUUGGAUCAAAAUAACAAAUGUGAUUUCACUGUUAUGCAAUCCUAAGUAAAAUGGCUUCAUUGCUCUUUAACAGAUACCAUAAGAUAAAAUAUACUGUAACAUACAGUAACCUUGUUGACUUGGGGGCUUCACUUGGGUUCCAACUACUUUUAAGUUUUAACCAGAAAAAUAAAUACAUGUGUAUUUAAGGCCACAAGAUUAAAUACAAACUUUAUCUUAAAAAUAACUCAUUCAACAUCUAAAAUUUAUAAAAUUGAUUUUUUUUUUAAAAUAGAAUUUAUCACUUGUUUCCUUUUUAGUUUUAUACUAAAUGUUUAGCUCAGUUGAUACAGUGCAUAAUAUAUGCAAAAUCCAGGGUUCGAAUAUUGGACGCCAUCAAAAAGAAAUGUUUUUAAAAAGUUAUUAACAAGAUUUUUUCAUGGUAAAUUCUAUCCACUAAACUACUUGAUAAAAAAAAUAUAAAAAAAAAAAAAAAAGACAGCAUCCAUAUUGACGUUAGUAAAUCUUAUGAUAAUUUAUCGAAAAAAUAAUAAUAAAUAAGAAUUUACAUAGAUAUGUUAUUUCGGCCAUACCCCAGUGAAAGUUGAGAAUAGAUAAAAGGUGUUUGUAUUUGACAUUUUUGUCGAAUAUCUAUACUUUUAAAAAAUUAAAAAAAUACAUGGUUUUUGGAAUAACUUUUUCAUUUCUAAUUAUACCUCUAAGCAAAUCUGUCUAGAAGAAAUAGAAGAAAUAUAUAAUUGAAUCCUGUCAUCUUUUAAUUUUUCUAAUUACAUUUCAUGUAUUCAUGGUUACACACUAAAAUGAUAAAAUUAUCCUUAAAUAAAAUUUAAUUUAAUCUUAAACUCGGUUUAAGUAGGUCAUGUAAACUUAAUUUUAGUAGACAAUGUAAACUGAGUUUAAGUGUAACACUUUAAGUAAGUUAUAUAAACUUAGCUUAAGUAGGUCAUGUAAAAUGAUCAGUUUAAGUGUACAUACUAAAAGUUAAAUUUUGCUUUAACCUCUUCAACCUUGUUUAAUGAUUCUACAUAAUCUUAUUUUAAGUAUGUACUUGUAAACUCAACUUAGGUAGACUAUGUGACUAAAUUUACAUGUACCCACUUAAACUGAAUUUAAGUUAACCUCAACGAUGUUAAUUAACGUUGUUUAUGUUGCACCAUUAAAUAAUCGUGUUGUAAAGUGCAUAACAUAUCAACGUUUGAACAACAAAGAAAAAAAAUCGAAACUCUAGCAUCAAUGAAAAAGAAGAAGAAAUUCAAUUAUUUAUAUGCAAUAGAGUAUGGACGAAAGAUGUUUUGAUUCACUCUUUAAUCUUCUAUAUAGAUUGAUUGACCAUCCAUAAUUGUUUGUGGGGGAAAGCGGGUGAAAUUUUAGAGUGACAAUGAAUGAAAUCAAGGUUUUAAGAAAAUUUAUAUAAAAGAACAAUUUUAAUUUUAUUAUAAAAUUUUAAGUAAAUAUAUGUGUAAUAAGAAAUACAUAGGAUGUAAAAAGAAAAACUCUUGUUAUCAUCAAAACUCAAAGUGGUGUUGUCAAACACAUUUUAUUCCAACAAUAUGUUCGAUAAAACGCAUACAAGUCUGGGAUCAUCCUUGACUUUAUAAUGUUGCGUGCAUUUUACCAACUACUUAUCAACAUUUGUAGUGGCCAUAUAUCAUUGUUUUAAACCUGUUGAUUACACCUAAGCAGCAAUGGAGCUAAUUAAUGGAUUUUUUUGACAAUAAUAGAACCAUAACUACAUGACUGCCUACUUGGAAGCUUGAGAAUGAUGGUGUUUAUACAGUUAAGAAUCCAUACAAGGACAUUAUGAAUCAUGAUAUGGCCCUUUUGCAACAUCGUGUGCCGAGAAAUUGGAAUUAUGUUUGAGUUUAAAGUUGCCACCGUAGCUACCACAAUUGUUUGCCUACUACAAUUCGAUUGCAAUUGAAAGGUGUUUCGUGUACUGAUUUGUGCGCGAUGUGUGAAGACUUUGGUGAAGAUAAUACUUAUUUGUUUUUAUGUGUAGUAAAAGUGUGCUUUGUUGGAAGCACACGAUUUUGGAUUCCUUUGAUGGUAGUCUUCGAUCUUGCUGCAAGUUUCUCGAAAAAUGUGUUUUCUAUUCUAUAACAUCUGGACCAGCAGCAAAAACAAAUCUUUGGUGUGACGCUAUGGAGUAUUUGGAAGAAUAGAAAUAACAAGGUUUGUAACAAUGUUACUGAAACAUCUCAAACUAUUUGUGAACGUGCACGUUCCUUCUCGCUAGCUGGAUGAAUGCCCAAACUAUUCGACACCAUACUUUUCGGCAUUCCAUUACACAGAGCGAUCUACAUAUUGACAUAACCAAGUCCCGACAGGUUCAAAUGCAAUGUAGAUGCUUUCUUUUCUCAUGCUCUGAAUCGAGUCGGGCUAGGUAUGUGUAUUCGAGAUGAUUGUUGAACCAAAAAUCUUUUUGAUGAAUGUUUUAAUAAUAACAAACUUUAUGGAAUAAACACUAAGUUUUAUGAAUGGUGAUCUACUGAUGUUUGCACUUAAGUCUUUUCCGAGAAGUAAACAAGAAAUAAGUCUUUUACAAGUGCAUAGAUAUAUUCAAUGAAAGAAUACCAAAACAAUAGCAUCACAAGCUCAAAGAAGAUAUAGAAAAAAUAUUGUUUGAAUCAAAUGAGUAUUGAUUGAAGAUUCAACAAGAAGAUGUAUUUUAUGAUCAAUUGACUCAUCCUCAUCACCACAUGGUUUUCAACAAAGCAUUAAAAAAUUUGAGGAAUAAAGGGUUAAUAUUUGAAAGACACUUAAUGAACAAGAAACAUUGUGUGGAAUCACUAAGAGGAACUAUGAGAAGAAUUGUAUCAUCAAACAAUUCAAGGUUAAUUGACCAAGAAGAUAUUGUCUUCUUAUAUAGAAGAGAACAUUAUCAACUUUGAUGAAAAGAAGGUUCUCAUGAUGAAGAUGAUUAUUACACUCGAAAUAAUUAGAAUCAACUUUGAAGAGAAACCAACCGAUGAAUAAAUUAUUUAUUAAGUCAUUCAUUAAUUGGAGAACUAUCAAGGAAGACAAAUCAUGAUCAUAUGCAUGAAGAUUCUAUCAUAAAAGACUUAGGAUGAUCCAAGAAUCUUCAAUCAUUUUUCAAGAUAUAAUUUGGGAGAAUAGAAAUCAAUAAAAGGAAUUUUUACUUUGAGAAAGGUUUCUCAUGUUCUUACAAAAGAACAUUAUGGUCAUAAAAAGUGAAGAGAACACCUUCACUUUAUGUUUUUAAAGAUAACACAUAUUUACAUUUAUUAUCUUGUUAUCUACUAAUGUGAGAAUGUUUCAGUGAGAAUGUUCUCAAGAACGUUCUGACCUCGCAAAGAUAACAAAACAUCUUUAACAAAGCAAAUGACAAAAAUCAUCUUUUGAUAAAUGUCAAGAAUGUGCAUAAUCAAAGAUCAAGAAUAAUUGUUAUUCUCUUUGUCUCACCAAAAGAAGGAUCAAUGAUCAUAAAAAUCAAGAUCCUUAAAGGCAUUAAAUGGCAAGAAAUCAAGACAAAUCAAAGCAUUAUGGCACAUGGGCCAUGAUAGCAAAAGAACAAAGAUUAAAUCAUAAUGGCCUUAAAAGAGUGAAAAGAUUCAUUAAAGAAAGGCUUAAAUAUGAUAUUAGUCCCUGUAAUUUGGGUCGGUUUUGAAUUUCGUCCCUGUAAAAAAAAAACUUUGAAUUACAUCCCUGUAAAAAAAAAUUUGUUUGAAAAAGGUCUAUGGCCCCACAUUUUUGAUGAUAUGGCAUGGGUUUUGCCACAUGGCAGUUGCUGACUGUGCAACUUAUGCCACAUGGCGCUGACGUGGCAUGCCACAUAAUAUUAAAUUUAAAAAAAUAAUUUUUAAAUUCUAAAAAUUGUUUUUAAAAUUUAAAAAUAUAAAAAAAAAAUCUGAAAAAAAUUUAAAAAUAUUAAAAUUAUUUUUAUCAUAUAAUUUUCAAAAAAAUUUUUUUUUUUAAAUUAUAAAAUCUGAAAUUUCUGAAAAAAAAAAAUGAAAUGAUUUUUUUUUAAAAUAUGAAGAAAAAAAUAUAAUUUUCAAAUUAAAAAAAAUUAAUGAUCGAAAAUUUAAUUUUAACUGUUUUUUUUCGAUUUUUUAAAUGAUUUUUGAAUUUAUUUUCAUAUUUUUUUAAAUUUUUUAAUUACGUGGCUGCCACGUGGCAAAACCUAUGCCAUAUCAUAAAAAAUGUGGGGCCAGGGACCUUUUUCAAACAAAAAAAAAAUUUACAGGGAUGUUUUUCAAACUUUUAUUUUACAGGGACGAAAAUGAUAUUUAAGCCUUAAAGAAAUAUCUCAAAGUUGUUCCUUGUGGAAAAAGCAUAUGACAUCAUCAUAUAGCAUAAAGAUGACAUAAACACAUCUUAUCAAGUGGCUAGCAAGCUUCUACAACAAUAUUACAGCUGAUAACAACUUGCAAAACGUGUUCCUUCUUUGUACAAGUUUGGCUGGUACAGAGAGAACGUUAUGGAGAACGUUCUGGGUAAGAAAAACCAUCAAAGAAAGAUCUCAAAGUUGUGCCUUAGCAUAUGACAUCAUGCAAUGACAUCAAGCUUGCAUCAUCUUAAGUGGCCUCCAAGGCUUCUACAAUCAGGCAUAUAACUCGUUACAUCUUGCAAAAACGUGUUGCUCUGUGCCCAAGUUAUGGCUGGAAUAGAGAGAACGUUCUCGGUGAACAGUUUCAUGCUUUCUCUCCAAGCAUCAAAUGGAGCCAAUUUAUUUUGAAUUUGAAUUGAGCUCCAAUAGCUCUUUUUUGACUUGUUCUCCAAGGAUACAUCUCCUAUAAAUAGAGGACGUCCAUGAAGGUUAAUAGCAAGAGUUUUGAUAUACAAAAGCUUUGACAUCUCUCUCUCUCUCAAAGCUAAAGAAAUCAUUAUCUUCAUCAAUCUCUUUAACAUCUCUUUCGACAAUCACAAAGCAAACUCCAUAAUCUUUCACUAUAUUUAUCAUCUUUAUCUCUCAUUGAGAACAUCUUUCUGAGUUUGUAUUUGUACAAGGAUAGUUUGUUUGAGACGCUAGAUCCAAACAACAUCUUUCUCAUUUUCGUUUGAGACAUUAGAUCCAAACAAUCAUCUUACAAAGAGAUAACUAGAUCUCAAGUCUAUUGGGCUUAAUAGUUUGAGAUAGGAAGAGUUCCAAGCUUUCUUGUGCAAAAGCAAAGAAUUGUAGAAGCCUGCUGAGGUUGAUAAUACAAGGGUUACAGACUGAUCUGGUGUGAUCAAGACCUUAUAGUGUUGGUUAGAAGUUUCUACCAACUGAAUACUAUAGUGGAUAAUCUCACACGAAAUGUGGGGACUGUGGAAGUAACCGGGAUUGGUGAACCAGGAUAACUCUCCUGUGUUAUUCUUCUUUCUCUCUCCCUCUCUAUCUUUUAUUUUUACACAAUAUGCACACACUAUCACACUCAUUAAUAUUUAUAACUCCUCUCUCCCUCCCUCUCUCCUGUGUUAUUCUUCUUUCUCUCUCCCUCUCUCUAUCUCUAAGAUAUUCUGGUCCUAAUUAAUCACAACCAAAUUAAUCCAGAGUUCUCUGGUCGUUAAAUAACCAUUAAUAUUGUUUUAUCAUUCAGCUUAAUAAUUAAUUAUAACUGCUUUAUAUUUAUCCAGAGUUCUCUCGUCCUUAAUUAACCAUAAGAUUAUUUUAUCAUUCAGUUUAAAUAAUUAAUUAUAUAAUUAUUAUCCAGAACAUUCUGGUCCUUAGUAAAACUGCUUAAUUAUUUAAACCUUACUUUAUCCAAAACAUUCUGGUCCUUGAUAAAACAAUUGUUUAAAUAUCUAAAUAUUUUAUAAUCUUCUUUUAUCUAACAUUUACCAAGAAUUUUCUUGAGUACAUAAACUUGUUAAGUUUCAGGAUUAAAUUUAAAAAGGGUCACAAUUCAAACCCCCCCUUUCUUGUGACUAUUUCUUCCACUUCAAUGAUGAGAGGUUGUUUUGUGUUACCUAAAACCAAAUGGUUGACUCCGGUCCUUGAUGUGGACUUGAAGAGGCUUUAGGUUUAUUAUAAACAUUGUAUUGGGUGCGUGAUCUAUAGCUAGGUAUUGUGGAUUUUGGCCUUGAUUCCAAAAAUGUGGUGGAUAGUCUCUAUGGUAGAAAAAGUAACGUUACUAAUUAUAGUGCAGUUAUAAUUGAUUGUAGACGCAUGUUAGCUUGUGAUUUAGCAAUUGAUGAUGUUAGGUUUAAUCAGAGACAAGCCUACGAAGUCGCUGAUGUUAGUUUCUAUAUUCAUACUAAGAUUACAUCGUGUAUCUCAACUAUUAUGCAAUAAGUUUCUUUAUGUCUAAAAAUAAUAAUUCAUUUUCUACUCAUUGUCCAAGAGUAGCACCUCUUAAGCAACCAUACAUCAACACCACUUCAGCGCCACCGUCAAGGGCACCACCAAACAAUGACUCUACCAUAACUCUUACAUCCUCGCCGUAGUCAAAGUCAUUGAAUCCCACCCCCAUCGUCGAUCUAUGAUUUUCCCCUGGUUCCGUCCUGGCCUCGACCAAAACUACAAUCGCCACCAUAAAAGGUUCUAUCUUCACUCCCGUCAUCGGCACCACCUCCAAAACCACCUAAUUGCAUCUCUAUUUACGGAAUCAUUGACUUUGAGGACAAGGUCAAUUUUGAAGAGCAGAGUAGUGAUAACAUUAACCAAGAGGAAGAAAUUUCGGAUAACGUAUAACAAAUGAUGUUAAAGUGAAGGGAUUGCAUUACUAUCCAGGAACAAUAAGAUUAGCAGAUAAUAAUAGGAAGGUAGUUUUAUAUUUGUUUGUUAUGUUCUGAGUAAUAAUAGAUAAUUUAGUUGUAUAUCCUUAGAUAUUAAUAACUUCGUUUUUUUUUGUCAAAUUGUCUAGUGGUUAAAACUCACAUAUUUUUUAUUAAAAAAAAAAUAACUAACACAUUUUAAAUAUGGACAUAAGUAUUUCGUGAUUAUAUAUUACCGAAACUUCUCUGAAGGACAUAAAUCUAUAUUUCAUUUCUUGAUUGCUUUUCAGAGAAGUUUCGAUAAUAUAUAAUACAAUAACAAUAUUGACUUGGGUUCCAGUCUACUUUCUAUAAAAAAUAAAAAAUAAAAUGGGUUUAUGCCACGUUGUAUAAAAUAACAAUAAUAAAAUAAAUAUAAUAACCAUAUUAAUUAAUAAAAAACAAAGAUAAGAAAUGUGAUUAAGAAAGGAAGGAAGGAAAAAUCCAAAGUGUCUUCUAGGAGCAAAGGUGUCAUGACAUUAUUAUUAGUAUUUUUAUGGAACAAUAUUUAGGGUAGCAUGCCUCAUUCUAGUUAAGAAAAAAUUCAAGGUUCAAUAAAUGCUUGCAUAAAUUCUUACAUACUAUUCAUUAAUUAAAUAUAAGUUGUAUUCUUACUAAAUUGCUGACAUGACAUUAUUCUUUAACAAGCAUACAAAAGAUAUGACAUUAGAGAUAGUGACCCUUUAAGUAAAAAUAUGUACAUCCUCUAGUUAAUAUUAUAAACAAAAAUUAGCAUUUUAUAUUCAUUCAUUAAAUUAUAUAUGUGGUUAAUAAUAAAGACUAUAUACAUUAUUUAAUGAAUGAAUUUGUCAAUAUGCGUGGUCAGAUCAGAUGCAUAAAUGUGUAAGACGCUGGGUGAAUAAAAGAUCUGGAGUACAAAUCCGAACCACCAAAAAAAACUUACAUUGUGAAUUCAAUUUCCUAUAUUAAAACUUACGGUGUGAAUCUAAUUUCCUGUAUUAAAACUUAAGGUGUGAAUCUAAUUUUCUAUAUUAAACUAAAUAGCUGUUAGAUGAGGUCCAUUUCUUUUUAUUUGUUUCUUACCAAUCAAUUUCAGUAACCUUUAAACAAAUGUCAUAUUGUUGAAUCGUGAACUUUCUUCACACGUUCAAUGGCUGGUCCAAUUUAGAAAAUAUUAAUGAAUACAUGCUUUGAUAAAUUAUUUAUCAAAAACUGAUUUAUAUACUUUUUACACACAAGGAAUUGAGUUGGACAAACCCCUUCACUCCGACCUCAUCCCCCAAUCCCUCCCACCGCCAAUUUCAAGUGUGUUUAGCUGAGAAAAAGUUAUGUAAUGUUUUGAAAAAGUUAUAAAGUAUUAUGUUUAAGUUAAAUUGAGUGAAUUUUAAAUGAUAUUUAAGAUCUAAGAAUUUCAAAUUAUUUCCUAUUAGAUAUAUCUUUCAAAAUUUCCAAGUUGGUCCCCAUAUUUUUCAAAAAAAAUAAAUUAACCCUUAAAUAUUUAAAAUAAAUUGCAAAUUGAUCCUUACAAUUUCUUGAAAAUUAUAAACCGCUUUCAAUUUUUGAAUUCUACAAAUCAGCCCUCAAUUUUUCAAUUUUUCAAUUUGGCCCAAAAUUUUAUAAAAUAUAAAAGUAAGUAGCACAAAAAUAUAACUGAAGUAUUUUAUCACUGUAUCCAAACAAAAAUAUUAAAAAAUAAAGGGAUCUAGCGUCGAUCAUCUCACAAGGUGUUGGGAUGAUUUAUACCGCCGCUAUGAAAAUUAGAACUUUAAGUGCUUGUUUGGUGUAACACUCCUAUUUCUAUUAAAGCAAUUAAACAUGCAAAUAAUACAUUUAUUCAAGAAAUAGAGGCUACGCCACAUUCAAAAUUCAAAAACCAAUAAACAUGUAUAUAAACCUCAACAGUUGCAGCGGAAUAUAAAUCAGAGUAAUCCAAAUGUAUACAUGUCAUGAAUAAUAAAUUACAUCACAUAGAUGCAUCUCAAAAAUCCCAAACAAAACGGAUAAUCUCCAACAUAACAAAAUCCAAAAAUAACCUAAUCUAGACCGACACAACAAGCCUAGAUCAGAGCCAACUCAACACCGAUAUCGGAGAAAGCUCCCGAUAUCCCAAGCACAAACUCACCAAGCACUACUCCUGCACAACGUCUACCCAUCCAUACAGAUAGGUAGGCGGUUAAAACCACUAGGGUAAGUAUUACAUUAUCAUAAUCCAAAUAACAGAUAACAUGAGUAUUUCAAUAUAAACAUCAUGCAUUUGAUCAAUAGUAAUCACACAUUAAUACUUACAUCACAUCCCAAUAUCUCACAUCAAUAAUCAUCAAUCACAUAAACAGUUAACAAUUCACAAAUAUUCAUUCACAAUCUCCAAACACAAAUAUUCAUGAAUAGUCAUUAAUCACAUUUCACGAACAAUCACCAAUCACAUUUAUCAAACAAGACUCAUGUCAUGAUAUGCACUUAUUGACACAUAAAUGCAUGUGGUACCAAAUCUCCAAAAGGUCGUCACCUCCGAUGGAACAACUCAACAUCGUAUGUAAGGGUUCACACCCGCCUUACAUAAUCUCCGAAGUAAAAGAGCACAACCUUUUUACAACUACACGACUAUGAUGCAUGGACAUGUAAAAAAACUAGAUAAUGCGACAACAAUCACAAUUUUCUCCACAAUAUAUAGGAAAACACCCAAUUAUAUUGUUCAUCUCCACAUCAUUUGCAUUAUCAAGAAAACAUGCCCAUUCAUAAUUAAAUCAUAGUAUUCAUCAUUACACAUCAACGUGAUUAUCAAUAAUCAACGAUGUCAUUCAAUCAUCAACUAUCACAUAUAGUUUCACAAAUUCAAACAUUCCUUACAUCUUAAGUAAGAUAGCAUACACUUCUCAUGAUAAUUAUCAUAUCCAAAAUACAAUCAUUCAUUCAUACAACUUCACUUAGUCAUAUAAGAAUGAUCACAACAAUUCAUAAGACAAUACGACUUAAAGAUUCACUAGACCCCCUUUUCACAAGGUUAAUUCUUCCAUAAAAACACCCCUAGAUGAUUAGGAUAAAGUCCCUAUACAUAGAAAUAAGUUUGGAAACAAUUGGAUCAAAGAAAAUUGCAUUUUAAAAGUUUCUGGUCAGGCAAAAUCGUAGUCCGAAUUUUCCCCAUCGUAGUACGAUUUUUUUCGAGCUGAAACAACCCAAAAUCUGGUCAAAAUCGUAGCCCGAUGGAUAAAAUUGUAGUCCGAUUUCUGCCUGACAGACAACAUCAGAUUUUCCAAUUUUCACGUUUUCGCGCGUAAAAACCAAACCGUUAAUCCGUUUUCGGUGCCGUUUUCACCUACUUGUUCAUGACACUUAGCCCUAUCUUAAUGUACAGAAAAAUUCAAGUUUCAACAUUCCCAAAUUCAUUUUUCAAAGCCUUACACAACACUCAUUUUCCAAAACGGUUAACAAUUGAAUUUUCACCCGAAUCUCCCGUUUUCUCCCAAAACGACUCGACUAUCACAACUACAACCUAAAAACAGAAAUUCCAUCAAGUUUAACUCAUCCAACCACAUAGACAACUCAGUCAACAACUUUGUAUAUCAAAUUUCACUUUGGUCCUUCACAUGACCAUCUAGCACAACUUCACCAAUACAAACAACUUACUUCAUGAAAUGGAAUACCCAUGUUAUCAUUCAACAACAUCAACAUAUCUACUUUAACAACACCUCAUUUAGACAUGAAUUCAAUCAUAAUUCAAUUACACAAUAUCCCAAUCCAACAAUUGAGCAAAACACAUAAGUAUCCAUUUUCACCAAACCAACAACAACAACUUAUUUCACAACAACAAACUAUGAAUCAUGCAUACCCAAGCCAUGAAUUAGCAUCCAUAACAUCACUUAACAACAACAACAUCUAUUGAUCAUGAAACAUAUCACAAUUCAUCAACAACCAUCCAUAAUUCACCAUUUGAGCAUAAUUUACAAACUACCCAUUUUCAUACAUCAUGAACUUGCAAUUUCAUAAUCAACAAUUCAUUUAACAUCAAAUUAACACAUUCAAACAUAUCUCUACAACAUAAGCAAGAAUUUCAAAGAUUGGGUUCAUGAUAAUCACUUAUUCCCAUAAUCAAUUAUGCAUAGAACAAGAGAAAAAGAAUUAACUAAAUGAUUAUGAUAAAGACUAACCCCCUUACCUUAGAUGAAGAUUAACCCAAACUCUUGCUUCAAUUCAGCUCCUAAGCUUACCCAAAUUGAUUCCUCAAGCUAUUCUCUUCAAAACCCUUGUUCUUCUCUUCACCUCUUUCUCUCUCUACCUCUCUCUCUAGGAAAAUUUUAUGAAGUGAAUGAAAGAUAUUUUUUUUCUAUGACAACCCUAAUGUUAUCUCCCUUAAUGGGCUUAACUUAGUUUCUAGUGGGCUUAACCCAUUUCUAUUCAAACCACAAAUAUUUCUCUUUAACUAAUAACGGUAAAAUAUAACCAACGGUCACUAAACGGUAAAAACUAAUCACUACACUAGUAACUUAGUAAAAUAAGGGUUCUCACUAAAUAUUAAAGAUAAUUCUUACCAAAAUUUCCAUUUUACCCUUACCCGCCAAAUGACCAAAUACCCUUCUAAUACGGUAAUCUAUGUAAAUGCACCCAAUGACAAUUAAAUACACACAAGCACAAAUAAUCACAAACAAACACAUAAUAAAAGUAAUUAAAAUAAAUCUAGCUAAAAAUCGGGCUGUUACAUUUGGCACCACGUUUUUGGGCUCCAAACGUGGUUUAUUUUUGCCAAACGUGGUGUUGCACUUUUACAUGCUGUUUGGAUGACGAAAAAGCAAGUUUCUGAAAAGCGGUUUAUGUCUCCAAAACGCAAUUUUCUUGAAGCUGGAAUUCGGAGCUUCUACGGCAGAUAAAAACCACGUUUAAGCCUUUAAUUUCUCAAGUGGCAGGUACUUACCUAAUUACCCCUAAAUUCAAGCCUUCAAUUUCUCUUUCUCAUAGUUUUCUUCCUUUUCAUUACUUCACAUCACUUUCAAACUUAAAUUUUCUGCUAAUUGUGAAGAUUUUGCAUAUCCAAGAUUUCAAUUAUCUUCAGCUUUUCCCCAAUUUUUUCAGAUUUCAUGGUUAAUCUCAUUACUCAUGGUAGAUGUGUUGUUUGGGUGAAUUUAUUCCUUCAGCUUUUCCCCUAUAUAUGAUGCUUAUGAGCUACUUGUGAGAACCAUUCCAUUGCUCUGCCAAGGCCUGAAGGUAAAUACAUAUUCAUAUUUUUUUUGCUUUGAUUACUUGCUUCAAUAUUGUUAAUUUCUAUUUCUCUUUGCUCUAUUUGUUACAAGUUUUACAUUAAUUUUUCCAUCCUACAUCAAUGCAUUGUAUGUGUUUGAUAAAUAGUCUCAAAGAAAAAAAAAAUUCUUAUAUUGAUAUGUUUAUGUUGAUGAAUUUUCUUGACCUGUAGAAGUGAUUGUUUUGUUAUUAUUGAUGUUUAUCUUUAUUUUUAUUUUUUUUUAUUUUUUUGUGUUUUUAGCAAGGAGUCUAUUGUUUUUGUUUAAGGUACUUGGUGUGUUCAAAGUAAUUGAAUGAACUAACGUAAGAAAAGAAACUUAUAGCUUCAAGCCAUUGUUGUAAUUCUAAUUUUUGUGCCUUUACAAAAAAUUCCAAAGUAACAGAAUUUCUUCUAACACAAAGUAACAGAACUCACUCUUAGCACAAAGUAACAGAACUUCUUCUUGUAUUGUUUUUGUUUUCUGUUAUCAUUUUCAUUUGCACAAAACAAGGAUAUUGGUGUUAGUUUGAUCAAGUUGCUUAUGUAUAGUUUGUUUCAUUUUUUUUUUUGGGUUAAUAUGUCUUUACCCCCUGUAAUUUGGGCGAGUUUCGGUUUACCUCCUGUAAAAAUAAAAGUUUAGAUUCCAACCCUUUAAUAUGAAGAUUCUUCAAAAAACACCCCUAUAAUAUUAAGAUUCUCCACAAAACACCCCUGACCCCAUCCAGACGCUGAUGUGGCACGCCAUUGUGUAAUUAUUUUAAUUUUUUUUAAAACCUGACACAUGUGUAAUGGACGCUGACUGUAUAAUUUUUUUUAUUUUUUUUUAUUUUUUUAAAGGGUACACGUGGCAUUUGUGAUUUUAAAAAAAAAUAAAAAACGAAAACAAUUAUGGAAAAAUUAAUAAAAAUAAAAAAUAUUCUGAAAAAUAAAAAAAAAUAGCGAAAAAAUUAAUUAAAAUAAAAAAUAUGAUUAAACAAAUUCCGGAAAAUUUAAUAAAAUAAAAAAUAAUCUGAAAAUUUUAAUAAAAAUGAAAAAGAAUCUGGUAAAAUGAAAAAUAAUGAAAAAAAUUUGGAAAAAUUUUAAAAAGUUCUAGAAAAUUUUAAAAAAUAAUAAAAAAAUCUGGAAAAAGUUAAAAAUAUGAGAAAAAAAAUUUAUAUUUCUGGAAAAUUCAGGACCUUAAAAUAUUUCAAAAUUCUUGAAUAUAAUAAGAAAAUAUAUUUUAUUUUUAAAAAAAAAAGGUUCAGAUUUUUCUUUCGAAAUUAAUUUUUUUUUUAUUUUUUUAUACAAAAAAUAAAAAUAUUGGAAAAUAUUUCAAUAAUUAGAAAAACAUAACAUUAGAACAUGAAGAAUAGAAUUAAGGGCUUGUUUUUCAAUAGUAUAACAUGACUUAUAUACCGGUGUCAAUCAAAAUUCAUUGUAUCUUGUUAUUCAUCUAGAUUAUAUUUUCGAAUAAAAUAAAAUUCUAGAAAUAAAUUUUCAUAAUCAAAAUAACUAUAUAAUAUUAUAUUUUUCGAUUUUUUUAUAAUUUAAAUUUAAUUCAGAUUUUUUUUUAUAUUUUUUGAAAAUUUUGAUAUAUAUAAAUUUUUUCCAGAAUUUUUUAUUUUUUUUGAACUUUUUCCAGAUUGUUUUGUUUAUUGUCGUGAUUUUUUUCUUAAAUUUUCUAGAUUUUUUAAUUUUUUCAGAUUUUUUUUAUUAAAUUUUCUAUAUUUUUUCAUAAUUGUUUUUUCAUUUUAAUAAUGUUUCUAGAAUUUAUUAUUUUAUUUUUAUUUUAAAAAAAUAUAUACAAAUGCCACGUGUACCCUUUAAAAAUAAUAAUAAUACAGUCGUCACGCUACAUAAUCAGAUAUGCACAGUCAGCAUGCCAUUUCAGCUCGCCACGUCAGCAAUUCUGUACAGUCACAUAGGUCAGGGGCUAAAGUCAAAUAAUCUUAUUUUACAGGGUUGGAAUCUAAUCUUUUUUUUUACAGGGGGUAAACCGAAACUCGCCUAAAUUACAGGGGGUAAAUACAUAUUAACCUUUUUUUUUUUUUUUAUCAUACUUUUGUGUAUAUAGUAAUAUGGACUCACUUAAGAGAAAAGUUUCUGCUAACCCCCCUUCAACUAACAAUGAGGGUCAAAGUUUCAAAGCUAGUUUAAAUAUUAGUUUGCAAUAAUUUUCAAUAUUAUAUUGCACUUGAACUUAUAUUAUCUAUUAUCUAUAUGUAAUAUACUUUAGAGCCUUGCCAUUUUUUAUACAUAUUUAGAAAUCUAUGAUUAUGUAUUAAUAAUUUACGUAUAUUUUAGUUUACAAUUGUGUAAUUUCUCAUUUGUUUUACAUCUUUUUAUGCUUAUAUUAUUUUAUUAAAAAUCACCCAAUUGAUAAAAAAAAAUAAUAUUAAAAAUAACAUAAAUUUAUAUUAUUUUAAAAUUAAUUUUAGAACCAAUAGAAUUCAUGUAUGAUAAGUUGAAAUAAUUUUUUUUUAUGAGAAUGAGUUUUAAAUACAAUUAAAAUGAUAGUUUAGUCAUUAUACAUUCAAAAUCAAUUUUGAUUCAAACUAUCCAAACAACAUCAACCCGCAAGAAUCACUUUUAGUAUCCAAACAUAAAUCAAUUCACAUUCAACUCACUUUUAACCAAAAUCAAUUCUCUCAAACUCAAUUCUAUCAAAAUCAAUUCUCCUCGCCGCCAUACCAAACACACACUAAGAUUAAGAAGGAAAAGAUGAAGGGAACUGGCUACAAAUGGUAUUAUUAAUGUGGCUUGGUGGAACUCUUUACCCUUCUUUACUAGGGAUGACUUUUAUAAAGACCACUAUGGAUUUUUAAAUUAUCGUUCUCCAUAUCUCUUUGUAUUUUAAUUUUGUUUUUUGUUUUGGUUUGGUCCUCCUCUAGUACGGUUUUUCAUUUUUUUAAUAAUUUUUUUUUAGAUCAAGCUGGCAUAGGAUGGGGUGGUUUUGGAGUGUGAACAUAGUUGGAAUGUCAAACCUUCUUUUGAUGUCUUCUUUUGCUCAUGAUUUAGAAGGAAAAAAAAAAUUUAAUUACAAUAUAUUUCUCUAAAUUGAUUGAUUUCUUUCCUAAAGACACAACAGAAUUAAUCAACUAUAAUUGAUUUAUUUUUUUUACUUGGAUGAAAGUGAUUCAUAUGCCAAACAGAGCCUAAGUAAUUAAAAUAACAAAUUAGUUUAAAAAGGUAACUACCUGGAAUACGCAUUAGAAUGAAUCAGUAUUAGAGAGAUUAGAAACACCAGUAUUGAUUUGUGAGAAAACCAAGAUCUUUGAUCUGUAUCAUUUAAAAAGGAAAGACCAUCAACAGAACCAUUAUCAUUCUUCUUGUCUUUCUUCUUUUUUGACACAAAAUCAUGAAACUUGAGUAGCUAUACUGCAAUAGGGAGAAAAAGGAAGAAGAAAGACGAUUCAUUUAGUGAUGAAGCAGAAGAAGUUUGAAGAAAGUGGUAUUGCUAGCUUCAAUGACAUUGCUGAGGAAAAUAAAUAGAGAUCUAUACACAAAAUUAUGAAAGACAAGAAGAUUCAUACCAAUUGAACAGCAAGGAUGUUUCUGGUCAUCUUCAUUUUCAAUGUUGGAGCUUAUGACUUCACCUCCAAUUGAUGUAGGUUGUAACUCAUCAUUAUAAUUUCCCUGGCCAUCUUCACUUUCAUUGUUAGACCAAUCAGACCCCACACCAAUUUCCCAACCAUCCAGAUUCGACUUAUGUUCUAAGUUAUAUACAGGUAAGACCCCACACCCCUUUAUCCCCUCUGUUGACCACCACAAUUCUUCAUUGAAAUCUUGAUGCAUGAAUUGAAAUGAUAGGUUGCAAUCAUUACUUCCAUGUUUCCGUCUGUUGUAAGGAUGCCAACAUAUCAAUACGUGAUCUGAAAUUAAUGUCCCAUUAUAUUCGUAAACAACAAGAAUACACUUGUCGACUUCUUUGCCGUGUUCAAAGAUGACACAAUGCAGGGGGUGAUUGAGAUCAUGGAAGCCCUUAGAAAGAAUGGUGCAGAAUACGAAACCAGACAGGUUAUAUUUUGGAAUCGGAGGAAUGGUUAUUGAAGCCUUCAUUGUUUGAAAAUCAAACUUGCGAGGAACUUGUGCUCCUGGCAAGAAAUAGACAUCAUAAUAGGAACGGUUAUUGACAUCUUUAUUUGCAUGAAAAGGGUCUUUAGAGAAGAUUUGUACUAUGUUCUCAAGAAAUGACCGUUGAGUGGAGUCUGUGUCCAGAUAAGUGCAAUUAAUGGCACUCAAACAUAAUAGGGAUGGCGGAAGCUCUGUUAGAGACACAAGUUUCCUGCAAUCAUCUAAAACUAGCCAUUUUAGCAUUGAAUGGUUUCGUAUGUUCUCAGGGACACAUUCCAAGUUGCAACAAUCUUGCAAUGAGAGCCGUUUCAAAGAUUGUAUGCCAUCAAGGAUGGACCACAGACUUAAUGCAUUGAUUUCUGUGCACCGUGAAAGGUUUAGUUCUAUAACAGACCCAAGUCCAUGAUCAUCUGAUAACUUAUUCCCAACAAUGUUAAGCUUGUUACACUCGGUUAGGGAAAGAGAAGUAAGUUUUCUGUUACGCCAAAUCGAUGAAGACAAUUCACGUAUAGCAGUGCCAUCUAAGGUCAACUCUGUCAUUUCAUCCGAUGUCACUGAGAAUUCUGUGAGAGAAGAACAACCAUCGAGUAAGAGUUCACAAAGAGAUUUUGAAUGAAUGUUGGUUUUAAGGCUUUCAAUCUUUUUGCAACCUCGUAAAUCUAGAUAUCUAAGAUCAGGGAGAGAAAAGAUCGAAGAAUGGAGCUGACCCAGGCUUUCACAUUGAAAAAGAUAUACUCUAUGAAGAUUUGUAGCCUUAGAUAAGUCUGGGAUCUCAAUCAGAUUUUUGGAGGAUUCAAGCCAAAGUAUGUUUAGAUUCACAAGAUUCUGUAACAAGAAAUAAAAACACCAUUGAGAAACCGUUAAAUUCAUAAUCACGUGUGAGUGUUGAUUAAAAGAGAAACUAAACCUAAUUAAGCAUAAAUAGAGACUUUUUAAGAAUGAGCAUUAGACUUCCUCUCAUACUUCGACAAAUUAACAAGUAUAUCCAAACAGAAUUGUACCUGAACUCCAUCCCAUAGCUUUUUAAGCUUGCUAUGACUCAAGUGAAGCUCUAUGAGCAUUUCAGCACAAAAGGUUGAUGGCAAAUACUCAAGACAGUAUCCUUCCCAUCGAAGAUACCUCAAUUUAUCAGAAAUCCACUCAAGACCAUCGAGAAAGUACACAUUGGAUGUGCUUCUUCUAGAUUUAUUAUAGAUUUUAAGAUAUCUUAAAUUUGUCAUCCA
rnacentral:lncRNA from 1 species